rnacentral:rRNA from 1 species
GGACCAGACUCCUACGGGAGGCAGCAGUGAGGAAUAUUGGUCAAUGGCCGGGAGGCUGAACCAGCCAAGUCGCGUGAGGGAAGACGGCCCUACGGGUUGUAAACCUCUUUUGUCGGGGAGCAAAGCGAACCACGUGUGGUUCAUUGAGAGUACCCGAAGAAAAAGCAUCGGCUAACUCCGUGCCAGCAGCCGCGGUAAUACGGAGGAUGCGAGCGUUAUCCGGAUUUAUUGGGUUUAAAGGGUGCGCAGGCGGAAUGUCAAGUCAGCGGUAAAAUUUCGGGGCUCAACCCCGUCGUGCCGUUGAAACUGGCGUUCUUGAGUGAGCGAGAAGUAUGCGGAAUGCGUGGUGUAGCGGUGAAAUGCAUAGAUAUCACGCAGAACUCCGAUUGCGAAGGCAGCAUACCGGCGCUCAACUGACGCUGAAGCACGAAGGCGUGGGUAUCGAACAGGAUUAGAUACCCCGGUAAC